ACACAUCUAAAGAAAAAAAAUGGAAGUUGCUGCUCAAGGUCCCCCCCCGAAGGUAUGUUUUAAUUUUUUUUCCAACCUUUAACCUACGAACAACUCUUCCGGUUCAGGACCUGCUAACAUUAGGUGAGCAGGUAUUAUGUUUGGGUACUCGGAAGCAUGCAUCGCAUUGGGAUUGACGAUCGACUUAUGGGCCCCGGGAUCAUAGCGUAUGACGAUGCCACAACUCGAGUUUCCUAUCGAAUGAGAGUGAUCAUUUCCAUCAUCCGGUCCUUUGUCGUCGAUAUCAUCUGGGAUAUUGUCUAAAUCGAGGUCACUAAAAUCUUCAUCUCCGUGAUCAGAACAACUAUUAUUAUCGGAUCUGUAACACCCCUUACCCGAGACUGUUUUCGGAGUCGAGCAUGAGGCGUUACUUGACUUAACUUGAAAGUUCGGGGCAUAAAAUUUUACUUUUGAAAUUAAUUUCACUAUUCACAACAAAUCUGUCCACCUGCGCAAUAGUUACUAAAUUAAUUAUAAAUCGAUCUACGAAACUCAAAAUUUAGAUCUGUAAAUUUUCCCUGAAACUAGACUCAUACAUAUUUUUACCAUAAAUUUUUCAGAAUUUUUGGUUCAGCCAAUUAGUAUAGUUUAUUAGUUAAAUUCUCCCCUAUUUCACUGAUCGACUGUCCUGACCUCUUGUCACUAAAAUUUAAUUAUCUCAUUGUACAGACUUCAUAUGGUGUUAUCACUUAUUUCUACAGAAAAUGGACUCAAUAAGGAAUCUAGAC
rnacentral:lncRNA from 1 species